GACGUAGGGCGCGAGCGUUGUCCGGAAUUAUUGGGCGUAAAGAGCUCGUAGGCGGCUUGUUGCGUCGACUGUGAAAACCCGCGGCUCAACCGUGUGGCUUGCAGUCGAUACGGGCAGGCUAGAGUUCGGUAGGGGAGACUGGAAUUCCUGGUGUAGCGGUGAAAUGCGCAGAUAUCAGGAGGAACACCGGUGGCGAAGGCGGGUCUCUGGGCCGAUACUGACGGCUGAGGCACGAAGGCCCAGGGGAGCAAACGGG
rnacentral:rRNA from 1 species